CCUACGGGGGGCAGCAGUGAGGAAUAUUGGUCAAUGGACGAGAGUCUGAACCAGCCAAGUAGCGUGCAGGAUGACGGCCCUAUGGGUUGUAAACUGCUUUUAUAAGGGAAUAAAGUGAGUCUCGUGAGACUUUUUGCAUGUACCUUAUGAAUAAGGACCGGCUAAUUCCGUGCCAGCAGCCGCGGUAAUACGGAAGGUCCGGGCGUUAUCCGGAUUUAUUGGGUUUAAAGGGAGCGUAGGCCGGAGAUUAAGCGUGUUGUGAAAUGUAGAUGCUCAACAUCUGCACUGCAGCGCGAACUGGUUUCCUUGAGUACGCACAAAGUGGGCGGAAUUCGUGGUGUAGCGGUGAAAUGCUUAGAUAUCACGAAGAACUCCGAUUGCGAAGGCAGCUCACUGGAGCGCAACUGACGCUGAAGCUCGAAAGUGCGGGUAUCGAACAGGAUUAGAUACCCUAGUAGUC
rnacentral:rRNA from 1 species